rnacentral:tRNA from 1 species
CCGUGCAUAGCCUAGUGGUAGAGCAGUGCUUGUGUUGUUCACAGGUCGUGGGUUCAAUUCCCCCUCGACCCU